rnacentral:rRNA from 1 species
UGGGGAAUUUUGGACAAUGGGGGCAACCCUGAUCCAGCAAUGCCGCGUGUGUGAAGAAGGCCUUCGGGUUGUAAAGCACUUUUGUCCGGGAAGAAAUCGCACCUGAUAAUACCGGGUGUGGAUGACGGUACCGGAAGAAUAAGGACCGGCUAACUACGUGCCAGCAGCCGCGGUAAUACGUAGGGUCCAAGCGUUAAUCGGAAUUACUGGGCGUAAAGCGUGGGCAGGCGGUUGUGCAAGACCGAUGUGAAAUCCCCGGGCUUAACCUGGGAAUUGCAUUGGUGACUGCACGGCUAGAGUGUGUCAGAGGGGGGUAGAAUUCCACGUGUAGCAGUGAAAUGCGUAGAGAUGUGGAGGAAUACCGAUGGCGAAGGCAGCCCCCUGGGAUAACACUGACGCUCAUGCACGAAAGCGUGGGGAGCAAACAGG